UACGUAGGGGGCAAGCGUUGUCCGGAAUCAUUGGGCGUAAAGAGCGCGUAGGCGGUCCGGUAAGUCCGCUCUGAAAGUCCGGGGCUCAACCCCGGGAGGCGGGCGGAUACUGCCGGGCUAGAGUCCGGAAGAGGCGAGUGGAAUUCCCAGUGUAGAGGUGAAAUUCGUAGAUAUUGGGAAGAACACCGGUGGCGAAGGCGGCGACCUGGUCCGAUACUGACGCUGAGGCGCGAAAGCGUGGGGAGCGAACAGG
rnacentral:rRNA from 1 species